CCUACGAGUGGCUGCAGUGAGGAAUAUUGGUCAAUGUCCGCGAGCCUGAACCAGCCAAGUAGCGUGAAGGAUGACUGCCCUACGGGUUGUAAACUUCUUUUAUAAAGAAAUAAAAUGAUGCCCGUUUGCCUUUUUGUAUUUACUUUAUUAAUAAGGAUCGGCUACCUCCGUUCCAGCAGCCGCGGUAAUACGGAGGAUCCGAGCUUUAUCCGUAUUUAUUGGGUUUAAAGGGAGCGUAGAUGGGGUGUUAAGUCAGUGGUGAAAGUUUGCGGCUCAACGGUAAAAUUGCAAUUGAUACUGGCAGUCUUGAGUACAGUUGAGGUAGGCGGAAUUCGUGGUGUAGCGGUGAAAUGCUUAGAUAUCACGAAGAACUCCGAUUGCGAAGGCAGCUUACUAAACUGCCACUGACAUUGAUGCUCGAAAGUGUGGGUAUCAAACAGGAUUAGAUACCCUAGUAGUC
rnacentral:rRNA from 1 species